rnacentral:sRNA from 1 species
GGAACUCCGAUCGCAUCCGAUGACGCCC